rnacentral:rRNA from 1 species
GACGUAGGGCGCGAGCGUGUCCGGAUUUAUUGGGCGUAAAGAGCUCGUAGGCGGCUUGUUGCGUCAGCUGUGAAAACCCGCAGCUCAACUGUGGGCUUGCAGCUGAUACGGGCAGGCUAGAGGUAGGUAGGGGAGAAUGGAAUUCCCGGUGUAGCGGUGAAAUGCGCAGAUAUCGGGAGGAACACCGGUGGCGAAGGCGGUUCUCUGGGCCUUACCUGACGCUGAGGAGCGAAAGCGUGGGGAGCGAACAGG